GUGCCAGCCGCCGCGGUAAUACGUAGGGUGCGAGCGUUAAUCGGAAUUACUGGGCGUAAAGCGUGCGCAGGCGGUUUUGUAAGACAGAGGUGAAAUCCCCGGGCUCAACCUGGGAACUGCCUUUGUGACUGCAAGGCUAGAGUGCGGCAGAGGGGGAUGGAAUUCCGCGUGUAGCAGUGAAAUGCGUAGAUAUGCGGAGGAACACCGAUGGCGAAGGCAAUCCCCUGGGCCUGCACUGACGCUCAUGCACGAAAGCGUGGGGAGCAAACAGGAUUAGAUACCCUGGUAGUCCACGCCCUAAACGAUGUCAACUGGUUGUUGGGUCUUCACUGACUCAGUAACGAAGCUAACGCGUGAAGUUGACCGCCUGGGGAGUACGGCCGCAAGGUUGAAACUCAAAUGAAUUGACGGGG
rnacentral:rRNA from 1 species